AGUCCAUGGUGCGGGCAACAUCGGAACAAGUCCUUGUAUCUCUCCCAGGCAUCAUACAUGCUGUUAUCAUCGAACUGCACAAAAGAAGAUAUAUCAUUUCUUAAUCU
rfam:Ricinus communis cultivar Hale ctg_1100012353449, whole genome shotgun sequence.